UGCAAGUUGGUGCCGUGGCUUAGUUGGUUAAAGCGCCUGUCUAGUAAACAGGAGAUCCUAGGUUCGAAUCCCAGCGGUGCAU